CGCCCUUAGAGUUUGAUCAUGGCUCAGGACGAACGCUGGCGGCGUGCCUAAUACAUGCAAGUCGAACGCAGCUUGCUUUGGUAAGAUGAGUGGCGAACGGGUGAGUAACACGUGGGUAACCUGCCUAUCAGAGGGGGAUAACACUUGGAAACAGGUGCUAAUACCGCAUAGAUUUCUUUCGCAUGAAAAGAGAGGAAAGACGUACGUGUCACUGAUAGAUGGACCCGCGGUGCAUUAGCUAGUUGGUGAGGUAACGGCUCACCAAGGCCAUGAUGCAUAGCCGACCUGAGAGGGUGAUCGGCCACACUGGGACUGAGACACGGCCCAGACUCCUACGGGAGGCAGCAGUAGGGAAUCUUCGGCAAUGGACGAAAGUCUGACCGAGCAACGCCGCGUGAGUGAAGAAGGUUUUCGGAUCGUAAAACUCUGUUGUUAGAGAAGAAUAGGUAGGAGUGACUUCCUGCCAUGACGGUUCUAACCAGAAAG
rnacentral:rRNA from 1 species